CCUACGGGUGGCAGCAGUGAGGAAUAUUGGUCAAUGGCCGGAAGCCUGAACCAGCCAAGUAGCGUGCAGGAUGAAGGUCCCAAGCGUUGUAAACUUCUUUUGUAAAGGGAUAAAAUCAGGCACGUGAGCCUGACUGAGGGUACUUUACGAAAAAGCAUCGGCUAACUCCGUGCCAGCAGCCGCGGUAAUACGGAGGAUCCGAGCGUUAUCCGGAUUUAUUGGGCUUAAAGGGUGCGUAGGCGGGCUGUUAAGUCAGCGGUAAAAGCGCGGGGCUCAACCCCGCACAGCCGUUGAAACUGGGUGUCUUGAGUUCACGAGAGGUAGGCGGAAUGCGUGGUGUAGCGGUGAAAUGCUUAGAUAUCGCGAAGAACCCCGAUUGCGAAGGCAGCAUACCGGCGGGCGACUGACGCUGAGGCUCGAAAGUGUGGGUAUCAAACAGGAUUAGAUACCCGAGUAGUC
rnacentral:rRNA from 1 species